rnacentral:rRNA from 1 species
GGAAUAGCCACUGGAAACGGUGAGUAAUACCGUAUACGCCCUUCGGGGGAAAGAUUUAUCGGAAUUGGAUUAGCCCGCGUUAGAUUAGAUAGUUGGUGGGGUAAUGGCCUACCAAGUCUACGAUCUAUAGCUGGUUUGAGAGGAUGAUCAGCAACACUGGGACUGAGACACGGCCCAGACUCCUACGGGAGGCAGCAGUGGGGAAUCUUAGACAAUGGGCGCAAGCCUGAUCUAGCCAUGCCGCGUGAGUGAAGAAGGCCCUUGGGUUGUAAAGCUCUUUCGUCGGGGAAGAAAAUGACUGUACCCGAAUAAGAAGGUCCGGCUAACUUCGUGCCAGCAGCCGCGGUAAUACGAAGGGACCUAGCGUAGUUCGGAAUUACUGGGCUUAAAGAGUUCGUAGGUGGUUGAAAAAGUUAGUGGUGAAAUCCCAGAGCUUAACUCUGGAACUGCCAUUAAAACUUUUCAGCUAGAGUAUGAUAGAGGAAAGCAGAAUUUCUAGUGUAGAGGUGAAAUUCGUAGAUAUUAGAAAGAAUACCAAUUGCGAAGGCAGCUUUCUGGAUCAUUACUGACACUGAGGAACGAAAGCAUGGGUAGCGAAGAGGAUUAGAUACCCUCGUAGUCCAUGCCGUAAACGAUGUGUGUUAGACGUUGGAAAUUUAUUUUCAGUGUCGCAGGGAAACCGAUAAACACACCGCCUGGGGAGUACGACCGCAAGGUUAAAACUCAAAUGAAUUGACGGGGACCCGCACAAGUAGUGGAGCAUGUGGUUUAAUUCGAAGAUACGCGCAGAACCUUACCAACACUUGACAUGUUCGUCGCGACUCUAAGAGAUUAGAGUUUUCGGUUCGGCCGGACGAAACACAGGUGCUGCAUGGCUGUCGUCAGCUCGUGUCGUGAGAUGUUGGGUUAAGUCCCGCAACGAGCGCAACCCUCACUUUUAGUUGCCAUCAUUAAGUUGGGCACUCUGAAAGAACUGCCAGUGAUAAGCUGGAGGAAGGUGGGGAUGACGUCAAGUCCUCAUGGCCCUUACGUGUUGGGCUACACACGUGCUACAAUGGCAUCUACAACAGGAAGCAAAACGGCAACGUUAAGCAAAUCCCGAAAAGAUGCCUCAGUUCGGAUUGCACUCUGCAACUCGAGUGCAUGAAGCUGGAAUUACUAGUAAUCGUGGAUCAGCGUGCCACGGUGAAUGCGUUCCCGGGUCUUGUACACACCGCCCGUCACACCAUGGGAGUUGGUUCUACCUUAAGGCAAGGUUUUAAACCCUUGACCACGGUAUAGUCAGCGACUGGGGUGAAGUCGUAACAAGGUAACC